rnacentral:rRNA from 1 species
AGAGUUUGAUCAUGGCUCAGAUUGAACGUUGGCGGCAGGCCUUAAACAUGCAAGUCGAGCGGAAACGAUGGGAGCUUGCUCCCAGGCGUCGAGCGGCGGACGGGUGAGUAACGCGUAGGAAUCUACCCAGUAGCGGGGGAUAGCCCGAGGAAACUCGGAUUAAUACCGCAUACGCCCUAAGGGGGAAAGGGGGGGAACUCUUCGGAGACCUCUCACUAUUGGAGGAGCCUGCGUUGGAUUAGCUAGUUGGUAGGGUAAAGGCCUACCAAGGCGACGAUCCAUAGCUGUUCUGAGAGGAAGAUCAGCCACACUGGAACUGAGACACGGUCCAGACUCCUACGGGAGGCAGCAGUUGGGAAUAUUGCACAAUGGGCGCAAGCCUGAUGCAGCCAUGCCGCGUGUGUGAAGAAGGCCUUAGGGUUGUAAAGCACUUUCAGUAGGGAGGAAUCAACCAAAUUAAUACUUUGGUGAAAUGACGUUACCUACAGAAGAAGAUCCGGCUAACUCCGUGCCAGCAGCCGCGGUAAUACGGAGGGAUCAAACGUUAAUCGGAAUUACUGGGCGUAAAGCGCGCGUAGGUGGUUUUUUAAGUGGGAUGCGAAAGCCCCGGGCUUAACCUGGGAACUGCAUUCCAAACUGGAGAACUAGAGUACGAUAGAGGGGGGUAGAAUUCAGAGUGUAGCGGUGAAAUGCGUAGAUAUUCUGAGGAAUACCGGUGGCGAAGGCGGCCCCCUGGAUUGAUACUGACACUGAGGUGCGAAAGCGUGGGGAGCAAACAGGAUUAGAUACCCUGGUAGUCCACGCCGUAAACGAUGUCUACUAGCCGUUGGGAGGCUUGACCUCUUAGUGGCGCAGCUAACGCGAUAAGUAGACCGCC